GACGUGUACUAUAAUUGUUGCAUACGUUGUGACGUGUACUAUAAUUUUUGCAUACGUCGUGACGUGUGCUAUAAUUUUUGCAUACGUUGUGA